CUUAACUCACUGAGAGAGGGCAGGAAUUGAACCCACAACCUCAUGGUUCCUAGUUGGAUUUGUCUCCACUACGCCAAGAUGGGAACUCCAACGUGUGUAUUUCUGCAUGUCUAUAACCAUACUUGCCUUUUUGUAUUCUAUGCGUAUCCCUUUUCUUGUGUGUACACUGUGAUCAUAUUCUUAAUAGGUGCAUAGUAUCUCAAAGAAUUAAGAUACCAAAAUGUACUAAGCUUUUCCUUUAUUAUUAGAAAAUUAGUUUCCAGUUUUCUGCUAUUUAUAAGUAAUGCUGCUAUAGAAACAUGUCUAGUCUUCCUCAUUCUUUAUGAGUUAUUUUCUUGGGAUAAAUUCUCAGGAGUGGGAUUAUUAGGCCAAAGGGGUAUAAUUUAAGCUCCUUGCUAUGCUUUGUCAAAUCUGUCUGAUAAAAAGAAGAGACAGAUUUGAGCUGCCACAUGUGAAAAAUUUUAUAUACAUUUUCAGUUGAGGGACUUGAGCCACAGCUCGUUUCAUUUUUAGAUGCUUCUUUGUAGUCAGCUACUCAGUAUUCUCCCUAUUUAACUAUCAUCAUGGCAAAUUACCCCUUGCCAAAGACUACUUGGGGUUUGGAUUUCUCUGAAAUGCUUUUCACAAGAGUCUCCAUGGAUUUAUGGGGAAGGAGUGUCUGUGGCUGAUGUUGCUCAGUUACGACUUUUAUUAUGCAAAAACCCCCAACAAAACCUCCCUCUUAGCUGCAUUUUAUGCUGAGCUCUGUUUCUAGAAAACAAACGCAACAUUGAAACUCUGGCCCUAGUGGUCUACUCCACACCAUUUGAAAAUCCCCAACUUACUGAUACUGUUGAAUUUUGAGAAACAGCAGAUCUUCCUGCAAACUGGAAAUGAGAAAUGGAAGGAGUUGAAGCUUACAAUGUAUCUCCCCUAAUUCUAUUCUCCAGAAAUAACGUCUGCGAAUUUGGUUGACAUUCCAUUCUGUUGACUGUGUCCUUUGAUGUACAGAAGUUUCAAAGUUUUAUGCAGCUGGUUUUGUGGCCUCUGCUUUUGGUAUCAUAUACAAGCACUCUUUGCCAAAUAAAAUGUCACGAAGA